AUGGAUAUAAACCCGCAAAUUUUGUGUUGGAACGUGCGCGGGCUGAACUGUCCUGCGAAGAAGGCGGCGGUUAGGGAGUUUGUGCAGGCAGCCAAGGUGAACUUGGUGUGCCUCCAGGAAACUAAAUUAGAUGUGCUGGAUCAAUUUGUGGUUCUCCAAUGUUUAGGCCCGUCCUUCGACGGUUUCGAUUACUUACCUGCGUCUGAGACU
rnacentral:rRNA from 1 species